rnacentral:misc_RNA from 1 species
UUUCCGUAGGUGAACCUGCGGAAGGAUCAUUACUGAGUGAGGGCUCUCUGGGUCCAACCUCCCACCCGUGUUUAUUGUACCUUGUUGCUUCGGUGCGCCCGCCUCACGGCCGCCGGGGGGCUUCUGCCCCCGGGUCCGCGCGCACCGGAGACACCAUUGAACUCUGUCUGAAGAUUGCAGUCUGAGCAUAAACUAAAUAAGUUAAAACUUUCAACAACGGAUCUCUUGGUUCCG